GGGGCCAUAGCUCAGUUGGGAGAGCGCCUGCUUUGCAAGCAGGAGGUCGGCGGUUCGAACCGCCUGGCUCCACCA
rnacentral:tRNA from 1 species